rnacentral:rRNA from 1 species
UACGUAGGGGGCUAGCGUUGUCCGGAAUCAUUGGGCGUAAAGAGCGUGUAGGCGGCCCGGUAAGUCCGCUGUAAAAGUCAAAGGCUCAACCUUUGAAUGUCAGUGGAUACUGCCGGGCUAGAGUCCGGAAGAGGCGAGUGGAACUCCUGGUGUAGCGGUGAAAUGCGCAGAUAUCAGGAGGAACACCGGUGGCGAAGGCGGGUCUCUGGGCCGAUACUGACGCUGAGGAGCGAAAGCGUGGGGAGCGAACAGG